GAGUGAAGAGGGAAGAGCUCAUCAUUGGAAUCUGGCAGUGUUGCACUGUCCGAGUUGUAGAUGAGGAGUAGUCCGUCUGGACUGCAUGGCGUCCAAGUACAAUAGGCCGUCAGUGGGACAUCAUAGAGGGUGACAAUCCCGUCCUUGAUGCCAAUGUGCAAGUCUAUUACGAUGGCUAUCUCAGAGAGUCGAGCAGUUUGGGAUUUGCUGCUUAAACAUGGGAGGUAGAUUCCUUCUAAAGCUAAAUACAGGCGAGAGACCGAUAGAGAACAAGUACCGCAAGGGAAAGAUGAAAUAGCACUCUGUGAAGGGAGUCAAAAGGCGUGAAAUUGUUGCGAGAGAAGCGAUUCAAGUCAGCGUAGCUAGGCCCAUCAAGCGUCUUCGCUUUGGACUAGCUUUGCCAGCGGUCUUGUCCCUUAAAGAGACUUGACUUGUAAUAUGUCCAGCCUGGCGUGCACAGGCAGCCCCUUCUGGGGGCCAGUGGCAUGGCUGGUGGAAUGGCUUGCAAUCGACCCGUCUUGAAACACGGACCAAGGAGUCUAACAUGUAUGCGAGUAUAAGGGUGGCAAACCCGUAUGCGCAAUGAAAGUGAUUUUCGGUGAUUGAGAAUGGCCUGAUGACCAGACAAGCAAUAUAUGUCCCUCGUACGGCCAUUGCCCAAGUUCCGUGGUAGAUCCCACGAACAUGGAGUUGGAGCAUACAUGCUAGGACCCGAAAGAUGGUGAACUAUGCCUGGACAAAGCGAAGCCAAAGGAAACUCUGGUGGAGGCUUGUAGCGAUUCUGACGUGCAAAUCGAUCGUCUGAUCUGGGUAUAGGGGCUAAAGACUAAUC
rnacentral:rRNA from 1 species